rnacentral:rRNA from 1 species
AACUUUCAACAACGGAUCUCUUGGUUCUCGCAUCGAUGAAGAACGCAGCGAAAUGCGAUACGUAAUAUGAAUAUGCAGAUAUUCGUGAAUCAUCGAAUCUUUGAAACGCACAUUGCGCCCUCUGGUAUUCCGGAGGGCAUGCCUGUUUGAGCGUCGUUU